rnacentral:rRNA from 1 species
CCUACGGGAGGCAGCAGUGAGGAAUAUUGGUCAAUGGGCUUACGCCUGAACCAGCCAAGUCGCGUGAGGGAAGACUGCCCUAUGGGUUGUAAACCUCUUUUGUCAGGGAGCAAUUGGCGCUACGUGUAGCGUUAUCGAGAGUACCUGAAGAAAAAGCAUCGGCUAACUCCGUGCCAGCAGCCGCGGUAAUACGGAGGAUGCGAGCGUUAUCCGGAUUUAUUGGGUUUAAAGGGUGCGUAGGCGGAAUGCCAAGUCAGUGGUAAAAUCGCGGGGCUCAACCUCGCUCCGCCGUUGAAACUGGCGUGCUUGAGUGGGCGAGAAGUAUGCGGAAAGCGUGGUGUAGCGGUGAAAUGCAGAGAUAUCACGCAGAACUCCGAUUGCGAAGGCAGCAUACCGGCGCCCAACUGACGCUGAAGCACGAAAGCGUGGGUAUCGAACAGGAUUAGAUACCCGAGUAGUC